rnacentral:rRNA from 1 species
AACGAACGCUGGCGGCGUGCCUAACACAUGCAAGUCGAACGAGAAAGGGGCUUCGGCUCCGAGUAAAGUGGCGCACGGGUGAGUAACACGUGGGUAACCUGCCUCUAAGAUUGGGAUAACUCGUCGAAAGAUGAGCUAAUACCGAAUAAGACCACAGUUUCUGAGGGGACAGAGGUCAAAGGUAGCCUCUGCUUGCAAGCUAUCACUUAGAGAUGGGCCUGCGCACCAUUAGCUAGUUGGUAGGGUAACGGCCUACCAAGGCAAAGAUGGUUAGCUGGUCUGAGAGGAUGAUCAGCCACACUGGAACUGAGACACGGUCCAGACUCCUACGGGAGGCAGCAGUGGGGAAUAUUGCGCAAUGGGCGAAAGCCUGACGCAGCAACGCCGCGUGAGUGAUGAAGGCCUUCGGGUCGUAAAGCUCUGUCGGGAGGAACGAAUGCUCCUGAGGUUAACAGCCUCGGGAGGUGACGGUACCUUCAAAGGAAGCACCGGCUAACUCUGUGCCAGCCGCCGCCGUAAUAC